UUCAAUCUGCUCCACUGCAACUUCAGGAAGAUAAGAUUCGCUGCAAUUUGUAACUUUUAAUCUGUUCCACUGCAACACCAGGGAAAUAAGAUUCGCUGUCUUCAGUCUGCUCCACUACCACUUCAGGGAGAUAAGGUUGGUGGCUUCAAUCUGCUCCACUGUAACUUCAGGAAGAUAAGAUUUACCAUAAUUUGUAGCUGUAAUCUGUUCCACUGCAACGCCAGGGAAAUAAGAUUCACUGUAAUGACUUCAAAUCAUCCCAUUACAACUUCAGGGAUAUG
rnacentral:lncRNA from 1 species